CAGUCACCAGUCAGCGUGGCAGGUGGGGCUACCGAUUGCCCGCCAGAAGGGUUCCGCCGUGCCGCGAGGGGUUCCUUCUCAGCCAUCUUGGAUCUACUCACAGCUACCGCCAACUUGACGGAGCACUCGGACGGGGCGACCACGCCGCGCAACGACAAAUCCGGAGCCCACUCGCCAGCCGCUAAUGAAGGGGAAGAGGCGGUGAGCGAGAGGUGAUGGUCGGCCAGCACGCUCCUCGACCGCUUGGCGCAGCGCGGCUUCGCGGCCGACACCCGGCUGGCGCUG